UGCAGUCGAGCGGAACGAGUUAUCUGAACCUUCGGGGAACGAUAACGGCGUCGAGCGGCGGACGGGUGAGUAAUGCCUAGGAAAUUGCCUUGAUGUGGGGGAUAACCAUUGGAAACGAUGGCUAAUACCGCAUGAUGCCUACGGGCCAAAGAGGGGGACCUUCGGGCCUCUCGCGUCAAGAUAUGCCUAGGUGGGAUUAGCUAGUUGGUGAGGUAAUGGCUCACCAAGGCGACGAUCCCUAGCUGGUCUGAGAGGAUGAUCAGCCACACUGGAACUGAGACACGGUCCAGACUCCUACGGGAGGCAGCAGUGGGGAAUAUUGCACAAUGGGCGCAAGCCUGAUGCAGCCAUGCCGCGUGUAUGAAGAAGGCCUUCGGGUUGUAAAGUACUUUCAGCAGUGAGGAAGGGGGUGUCGUUAAUAGCGGCAUCUCUUGACGUUAGCUGCAGAAGAAGCACCGGCUAACUCCGUGCCAGCAGCCGCGGUAAUACGGAGGGUGCGAGCGUUAAUCGGAAUUACUGGGCGUAAAGCGCAUGCAGGUGGUUUGUUAAGUCAGAUGUGAAAGCCCGGGGCUCAACCUCGGAACUGCAUUUGAAACUGGCAAACUAGAGUACUGUAGAGGGGGGUAGAAUUUCAGGUGUAGCGGUGAAAUGCGUAGAGAUCUGAAGGGAAUACCAGUGGCGAAGGCGGCCCCCUGGACAGAUACUGACACUCAGAUG
rnacentral:rRNA from 1 species